GUGGUCGCUCCGACAGCGCAUGUGCUAAAAUUGGAACAACACAGAAGGUUAGCAUGGCCCCUGCGCAAGGAUGACAUGCAAAUUCUUGAAGUGUGGCAUAUUUUU
ensembl:snRNA U6 U6 spliceosomal RNA